rnacentral:lncRNA from 1 species
UCAAAAUGUCAACAGAGAGAAGAAACGCGCAACAAAGUAGCAUCAAAUGACUGUGAACUUUGCCUCAUCGAUAGCAUUUCUGACUUGUUUUUGUAAAGAAUGUGAAUGAUGAACCGGAGUAUGGAUCAUUUUAGCACACUUAUCGCCGUGGUGUCAGGUGUAACGGUGUUGUAUCUCUUUCACUCAGUCUUUUACGCUUCUCACGUCUCAUUUAAAAUAACUCACACAGUCUUUGACUCCCAGAAGCAUUUGCCAGGUUCAGUUUACCUCAUGACCAGAUACAUUUAUCAAUGUCUCCGCAAAAAACGAGGAACAAUGAGGAAAAACAAAGACACAAACGACGAGCUUGUUUUCACUUUGGUCAACUGCAGGUAUGAUGCCGUAUCUUUGAGGAGGUUCUGCAGUGUUUCAGGUUAUGGUUGGGACUAUCCUGACAGUGUCUUCAGAGACGUUCCCUUAUGCUACCCUGAGUUUCUCUUCACCAGACUUCUCACUAUGAUUAUGUGCUCAGAGAGAUUCAAACUAAGCCCUUUGGGUCUGUUGAGUGUCUGUGAGAGUUUGAGUCUGAGCGAUGCCUUGGAUGAGCUGAAGAGAGAGACGUUCUCCCUGCAGGCUAGAGUGCUGAAGUACAGGACUGUUAGUGCUGGAGUGGAGGUGGAUCUCGCUUUAACUGCAUCUAGAGAUCAGCAGACCGUUUGGAGCAGCACACUGACUCUACUCUCGCCUAACAAUACAUACAGACCUGAUGCUCAGCCUGACUUAGAAAUCACCCAUGAUCCAGUCUCAGAGAGAUGCAUCAGCCUGGCUGUUCCUUGGUCCACAGGUGUGCGGAGCACCUGGGUGUUUGGUGACCUUUGCCCUCUGCCUGUGUUUGUUUGGCUGGGAUUUACCCGUCCCACCACACACCCACUGUGGAUGUUCUCCAGGUGCAUGGCAGAAAUGGAGAAACACAAAGGAGUUGAAGUGGUGAGAGCUCCUCUGACUGUGUCAGUCUGUUACAAACAGCCUGUGUCUUUACCGAGGAAAGUCAACAUCAGAGUCAGUGAAAACACUAGUGUAACCUUAAGCACAGCAUCAUUUUCGUUGGAGGACCACAGAACCAGGACACUGUACCUCUCAGGACAGAUAAAACGACAGACAAGCGAGAAAGCAGAAUGAUGGUGAUGUAAUCCUGACAGAAAGGAUACUAAGCACUCAACGGCUCGGGUGUCAGACAGGGUUAUGGUGGAACUGAGUAACAGAGGCCAUCACAAACAGUGAUCUCAGCCACAAACCUAAAAUACAAGGGCCCUAGGAAGCGACGCUCCUAUACGCUCCUAAUGAUAUUUGAAAUGUCUACUUUAAAGACGAUUAAGGGGACUUAUCAUAGAGAACAGGAAUCCUCUUGCUCUAUUGAACUGAAGGAAUCAAUGUCCUGUGUAGACAGACUCAGUUCACAACACUUACUCCUCAGUCCACUCUUACAGAUACUGUAUAAUAAUUCACAUAUAAAUUAAUAUUCUUUAUUCAGGAACUUGACCCACUCUGAUGAGCUACAGCAGAGGUUAGUCAAUCGUAACAUCAGCCAUUUACACACAGAAGCCUUAAAUAUACAGAAUCAAAACUGCCUGAUUAUUCCUAAGGAUUGGAGAGAGGUUUGAAAAUGGUCAUAUAUGACUAAAUAAAAGGUAAACAUGAAUAAAAAAAAUGCUACAAAAAUGUUAAAUAUUUCUAAUUUAAAUAGGGUUAUAUUCUAUACUUUUGCUUUUAAUUCACUAUUGUAUAAUGCAUAAUGCAUUGUACAUGUGCAGUCAAAUCACUUUUAAUCAGUGUCUGUGUCAGUAGGGGAGGAGUUUGAGUGGAGGGCCGUUUCUCAUGAAUAUUUCAGUCUCUCCAGUCUUUCCUUAUCCUUUCCCUAUGCAUGCACACACGUGUGUAAGUGCUCCAUGUGUAUUAUUCAUUAGUAUGUGUUCAGCGUAUGAGGAGGGCUUUCUCAUAAAAACUGCUUUCAGAACAACUUAACGUGUGUGUAUACACACAGUAUAUAAAAUAUACAAUAUAAAUAUAUUUUCUAUAUUAUGGCAGUAAAUUGACCUUGUUCGCACUGAAACAUUUACUUAAUUAUAAUGAGGAGUUAUCUAUGGUCUCUUACUAUGGUCAAUGUAAUAUAUUUCAUUUUGGGAGACGGAUAGAUGGAUAGAGAUUUUUAAAAUAUUAAUUUGAUUUAUUUUUUGCAAGCA